UGCGUGUGUGUUUAGGCCUUAGGGGUCUGGUUUUUAUUUUAUUUUUCCCGUUUUUCUUGUUCCACCGCUUAUCACUGUCAAUUCUUUGCUCUCUCCGCCGGUUUGUGCGGUAGCUGAUGGCGAGGUCUGGUGGCAGUCGCCGAUCGAAGAGGAGUGAAUCCGGGCAUCCAUUCUCACCGAAGACUCUGCCCUCGACCGAUGCGCACAGAGUCGUGGCGGCGUCUCGAUCGUUCAAGCACCAGUCUGGCCGUCGUACUCCACCCUCGACGGCUCGUGGUGCAUUCGACCGAGCUACGAACGAGAUAGCUCCUAGGGUCUCUCCAAGGCAUCGGACGAUGCACCGGUGGGCACAACGAGGGCAUAAUAUACACCAACCAAUGGCUUUCAAUAUCUACUCCGCCAUUACUAGGUGGCGCUGUGCAAUGCCACCUAUACCCAGAGCGUAAAUGCAUUAUCUAAUGCACGGGGAUCACCACGCGAUACAUUAAAAUGGUAUUAGGGUGGCACGCCAGGCAUAGGCACUGCCAUGUCGAGGUUCCACUAUGUAUGCAUGAUUAUUUGUAUUAGCGUUUUAAUUUCUAGUUGUGGGUUAAGUGCAUUUUGAUUAGUUGUUAAUGUUGUUUGUCGAACUAGUAGAAGCAUAUUGUGUUUGAGGGAAGGGGUUAAAGUUUUUUUUAUUCGCGAUGUUGAGAUGUUUACUCUGUUUUGAAGUUGUAAUGAAAAUGGUGGUGUUGGUAUGGGCGUAGUGCAUCUGUGUUAGUAAGGGGUGGAAUAAUUUUUUUUAAAAAGGUAUUUGCUUUAUCUGUGCGUCUUGUGCGGGACCCAAGUGUAAUUUUGUGGAAUAAAUGUUAUGCAUUUUAGAUGGA